CUUUGUGGCAUCUGAAAGGGCGAAUGUUCCCCUAUUCAUUUAUAUUCCUUCCCGCGCACUGAUGGCUCUCUCUGUUGCAACAUAAAAGACCGAAGAUAUGUCCAAGUCUGGCAGUCAUUGUGGCUACUGAAAGGGCACAUGUUCCCCUAUUUAUUGAUGUUCCUUCCUGCGAAAUGAUGGCUCUCUCUGUUGCAGCACAAAGGACCUGAAAAUUGUUCACAUCUGGCAGUUUUUGCGGCUACUUAAAGGGCAAAUGUUUCCCUAUUCAUUGAUGUUCCUUCCUGCGAAAUAAUGGCUCGCUCUGUUGCAGCACAAAGGACCUGAAAAUUGUUCAAAUCUGGCAGUUUUUGUGGCUACUUAAAGGGCGAAUGUUCCCCUAUUCAUUGAUGUUACUUCCUGCGAAAUGAUUGCUCGCUCUGUUGCAGCACAAAGGACCUGAAAAUUGGUCAAAUCUGGCAGUUUUUGUGGCUACUUAAAGGGCAAAUGUUCCCCUAUUCAUUGAUAUUCCUUCCUGAGCGAUGAUGGCUCUCUCUGUUGCAAUAUAAAAGGCCUAAAAAUUGUCCAAAUUAGACAAUCUUUGUGGCAUCUGAAAGGGUGAUUGGGCCUCUAUAUAUUGAUGCUAGUUUCAUAUCCAUAUAUGCUUUAGUUGGGAUAUCAUCGCAAGAAGAAGGCAUUGGUUGUUGUC